CCCGAGAGGUAUAGAGUAGAAGCGUUGGUGGUGCAGCGGAGGUACUCAGAGCCCCCUCUUGGGAUCGGCGGUGAGGAAGGGAGGGGAUAUGGAGGAGGGGCAGAGCGGCGGCGGCGGCCUCACGCGGGGCCCCGCUUCGAUCCCGGUCGCGGAGGUACGCAGAGCCCCCUCUUGGGAUCGGUGGUGGGGAAGGGAAGGGAUUGAGGAGGGACAGAGCGGCGGGGGCGGCCUCCCGCACGGCCCCGCUUCGAUGCCGGUAGGGGUUCCUCCCGCUGCUGCCCCGUGGACCAAACACAGCCGAACCGUGCCCGCGCGCCGUUUGCGAACCACGUCGUCGCAACUCCGUGCUUGAUGCAACGGCGUCCUCCCAGCGGCUGUGCUCAACGACCGAACGACGGACCGAAUUGCCACUGCGCCCGUCCCGUGGUACCACGAUAGACUGGGGGACGGAACGAAGGCGGCCUACGCCCGAGAGAGGUGAGGAGUACGUAGGCGGCACAACCAGGUUCGUCUCCUGCUUCAGGUCGGGAACGGUUGUUCGAGUAUUACUAAAGUCUUCAUGCCAGAUUACCUUCCCACCUCCUUCUAAAAACUUUACCGUUUCAGCAGUCGUUCCUGUACUCUGUUCUCCAGACUGGCUUGAUGCAGUCAGUUGAUGCAGUCCACGUGGAACUGGAAGACGGACUCGUCUACUUGAUCGGUGACGGGACCUACAACACAGCAGGAGGUCAGGGCGAGACGACGAAGACUGGUUCGUGGAGUUUGGUUCUGACUAACGAAAUAAUAACACUAGCCAGUUAUGUUAUAACCAUAUAUACAGAACAUAUCACGGGAAAACGUAAUCAAAAGAAUAUAAACGCCUCACACGUUUACUCAAAGAAGAAUGGAAAUGAGUAAUUAUUAUCAUCACUCGCUAAGAGACACAAAACUCAAUAGAUAACCUAGUUACAUAAAAGACCUAAAUACUACAAGUAAAAGUUUCACUAUAAACAUGAUACAA
rnacentral:rRNA from 1 species